UGUAUGUUGGGUUAAUCCUUUGCAUGAGAGAGGUAUUGAACUUCCAUUUCCUCUAAAUGUAACAUUUUAUUAUUCUAAAUUAAAAUUUAUGCGUAAUUUUUUUUUUUUUUUUUUUGCAUCUUUAGUAUGUAAAGCUUUCUGUUUUAUAUUUGUAUAGAAUAAUGCAAGCUUUUUGUAUUUAUGUUAUCCAUUGUGCCAAAUAGAUGAACAUAAUUCUACAUGAAUAUAUUUCCCCAGAACAUUUUAAAUUAUGUUUUGCAUAUCAAAUUUACAGUUUUGGUAUUUAAGUUUAAUUGUAGAUAUUCUUUUUGUUUUAUAACAAAUAUCUGCAAUUCUGGUGUAGUGUGGAAUCUUUUGUGUUUGUCAGUUUGGAAAGUUGAACAAAUCAGUUUCUAGUGAUUCAUUUUGUGAUCCAUGACAUUUUUGUUCUCAACUGGGUAAUUCUCAUGGUUUAAAACAUGGGUGUUUAGAUUCUAUUGAUAUUGUGGUUUUAUGAUGUUGUCUAUCAUUGAAAGUAUAAAAGCCUUCAAACCAACUUUCUUGAACUUCUCAAUAGCCAUCUUGAUUUUAAUGGUACUAUUCAAAUUUGUGACAAAACAUCCCUUGUCCUGAUUUAGAGAUUUUCUCCUCUUCUUAUUUAGCUCAUAUGUUCCCCAGAUGCUUGCUGGUAAGAGACAUAGUAAAUUGUUUAAAUGGCCACCCAAUGCAGCAAAACACAUGCAUGGUGCCACAACCUGCAAAUUUGUUACCAUACAUGCACAGCACUAAACAAAAAAUGUUAAACCAAACUGGUCAACUGCCAGAUAUGGCGCAUGGAGAGUGCCUAUGGUGCAUGCUAUCACCUACAGACACCUACCCCCAAUAAAGUGCUGUACUUUAUUUUCAAAUGUUGGAACAAUUGAUAUGGCUGCUCUGUGUGAUACGAGCUAUUGUGCAAACCCAGAUGGAAAACUUUGGUUUGACCUUUCAUAUGGUAACUAAAUAUACAAGAAACCUAAUUAGAGAGUGCCUUGCAUUGAUACAAGAAGAGACCCAUUUAUUCUCAACUAUGGUACACCACUUACUAAAUUAUCACACAUGAGUGUGCAAAGCUGUAAUAUUCCAUAUACAUAUGGUGUAUCAGUGAUGUCAAACUGUUGCCUAAAGCACAUAUUGAGUAUACUUAACUAGUUCCGGCUGCGUACAUCUGGAAAGUUUGGUGACUUGUUAAGUUGUUAUAGUAAAGCAAGUGAUCAUUAAGCACCCACUUGUAACCAGCUCACUGAUUUGGGUCAGUUGUUAAAUUUGGUGGAAUCGAUGCUCCAGAUGUCCCAGCUUGCAAUUAGCAGGAGGAGAUGUCACAUAUAAUAUGUCAUUAUAUAGAGAACACUCAUUCUGUAUAUUAUCCUAAUAUGAUGGCAUAUAAAUUAUAGCACUCUUUUCCUGAAUCCACAUACCACAUGAUGAGGCAAGGUCAAUGGGCCACUAUACCAUUACCCUACACUUCACCUUAAAUAGAAUAUGUGAAUGGGAGUACGCAUCUCUUCUGGAUUUUACAGUGGUUGGUGUCCAAGCUUCCUUACCUUUCCUUACCUUUCAGAAACUUAUGGGGAGACAAUCACAUAAUGUGUUACCAGUUUAGCGGAGUCAUUUUUUAAAAUGUAUUUAUAUAUAUAUACGGGAUGAUUAAAUUAUUUUUUUCGCGAUCAGUGACACUCUAGAACCAGAACCAGUACAGCUUAAUGUCAAACCAUUGUUGACUGUAUCCUCCAUUAUUUUAUCCGGGGAUUUGUCUGGAAGCAGGUAUGCCAAGUUUCAUUAAAUUUACACUUUACAAUCUUGCACCUAUUGGUUACCCAUGAUAUUAUAAAAUGUUUAAAUGUUUAAACAUAUUUGACACUUUUUCACUGAGAUACAGGAUUACCCUGAAACCUAGGAACUGCUACCUAAAAAUGCUAACACCCAUAAUUUAUGGUGUAUUUUACCAUUAUUUUGUGUAUUGUGUAUUUUCCACUGAUAUUAUGCUUUUCAUUUAAAUUCAAUAGGAAUAUUAUAGUAAUUUGAUCAUGUUAUUAUUAUUAUUAUUCUUGUUAUCGCCAUUUAUAUAGCACCAACAGAUUCUGUAGCGCUUGACAAUAUUAUGAGAGGGGGGAUUUAACUAUAAAUAGGACAAUUACAAGAAAACUUACAGGAACGAUAGGUUGAAGAGGACCCUGGUCAUACGAGCUUACAGUCUAUGUUAAUGUAAUUGGUCAAAAUAUCAUGUAACUAUUAUGCAAAAAAAUGAAUUAAGAUAUACAGCUUGUGAGAAUGGGAAAAUAUGUGCUGCCAUAGAGCUCAUUGGCGCUUAUCUCCCAGUUUUUUGCGUAAAGAAUAAUGAUUGACAGCUGCAUAUGUUCUGUUUAUCCAGAUGCUUUAGGCAUUUUGCAAUCUUCUAUAUUAGGCAUGUGUUAUUUCAUUUAAAAAAAAAUUGCAUAGUAGGCAUUAAAUGGUUUUGACUCGGGUAGUUGUAUAUAACCCCAAACAUUGGCAUAAGCAGAAUAAAUAAAUGGUAUGAGACAGCGAAUGGUAAAAUAUGCGGAUACAUAUAAUAUAUGCUGACAUAUUAUAUUGGCUAUAUUCAGUGACUGGUCAAAUAAGCAUUUAUAUUAUUGUAGCAUAUUAUAAAACCCUAGAAUCUAAUAACCUCUGGAUAUUGCUUUUUUUUAGUCAAGAAUCCCUACCGACACUUUGUCUGGUUCAGUAAGUGUUGGGCUUUUACUAAAAAAAUGUAUUUGGAUUAGUUUGCAUUCAGAUGGUUAUAAAUAUAAAACCUAUUUUAUGAAAGAGUGAGCACAGUAAUUUCCAUGAGAUAUUUUAGUAAGAUUAAUUAACGAUAAAAAGAUUGUACAGGCCUAUUCUGUAGUUUGUGCAUUUUUAAUCAACUCCCCGUUUUACAAAGGUCAAGUGAUGGGUCAGACGUUGAUGAAAAAUAGAAUUCAUUAAAUCAUCAAAAAAAAAAAAACAUGAAACAUUCUUUUUUAUGUGUUUGUUCUCUGACUUACACUGUUCUCAUCUAACUCCAAAUUUCCGAGCAUAGAAGGAAUAUAAUAGCUUUGCAAAUUUAAGCUCAACAUUUUUUUUGCAUUGAUAUAAAAAGUGACAAGCCUGACAUUGCAGAUAUCUUUGAACUACUUUUCCUUAGACUGACUGCUGAGCAUAUAGAAAACAGGGUUUUCAAACAUCUGCACUGGCAAGUUUAGUCACUGCUGUUAUACGACUAGAUAUUAUAAAUUAAAAAGCACAAUAUCACAAUUUAUUAGUAUAUUUAAUGACAAGGCCGAAGUGUUGAAACAAUCUAAUUUUUUUAAAGUAACACACUCUAACCAUGAUACACAAGAUGGAUAAAGUUAAAGUAAUAUUGAAUUACCCUUUUGAUUUUUACCUUGUCUUUUCUAAUAGUGGUACACUGUAAGAGUGACAACAUUUUGCUAAUUUGUUUGUCUUUCUGAGGUAUUGUGAAGUGGGGUGCAAAUUUUUGUAAAUGUUGGUGUGAGUUCACGACUGAGCAGAAGUGUGUGUGUUGGUGAAUAAGACUGUGCCUUUAAUGUAGGAUUCAGUCAAUGGUACUGUAUAUGUAAAAAUGGCACCAUUGUGUAUAGUACAUGUGAAUUUCUAUGACAAGAAUGUGCAUUAAAUGUAAAAAUUUGUAUUCAGUAAAAGUCUAAUAAACUUGGUACUUGUA